GUCGUUUUCUCACCAGAAAAGCUGCCGAACCCUAACGGGGCCGGGUCAUCUCGAUUCCUCGACAUUGCAAGCCUCUGAUUUUCCUCAGUUUCUCUCCGCCCUUCUCCCGGUGGUCUUUCUCCGGCUGAUUCCGUCGGCGAUUUCUCCGGAACCGAAACGUGUGUACCGAAAUUUUUCCUGUCUCACCGAACCGAUUGCUCGAUUUCCUAACCGGUCACGAGCUGCAGUACCGAAGAAAAAGAAGAAUUGGGUUCUGGGAGGAGGAGGAGGAGAUGGAAAUGGAUUUGGAGCCGGUAGCUCUCACGCCUCAGAAACAAGACAUCGCAUGGAAGCAUUGUGAAGUCUAUAAGUAUGGGGAUAGAGUACAGAUGAGGUGUCUCUACUGUCGGAAAAUGUUUAAAGGCGGUGGGAUAACCCGGGUUAAGGAACACCUUGCAGGUAAAAAGGGUCAAGGUACCAUUUGUGACCAAGUUCCAGAAGAUGUUCGCCAAUUCUUGCAGCAGUGUUUGGAUGGGACCGUAAGGCGACAGAGGAAGAGGCACAGAUCAAGUCUAGAGCCACAUCCUAUAGCUUAUCUCCCUCCUUCUGAAGUAGAUGCUUCUGUUGUUCAUUCUGAUGUGAAUACUGGAUUCAGAUCUCCAGGUUCAGAUGUUGUUGCACCGAACCCGAGCCUGUCAGUUAGCAGAACAAAGCAGAGAACUUACAGGAGUAGGAAGAAUUCUUUUGACAAAAGUGCUUCCGCAAAUGCGGAUGGGGCUGUGGCUAACAUCAGUGACCUGAUUGCUCGAGACAUGGACAAUCUAAUUCCCGUGGCUAUCAGUAGUGUGAAAAACAUUGUACAACCAUCUUCCAAAGACAGGGAGAAAACGAUUCAUAUGGCAAUUGGACGGUUUCUGUUUGAUAUUGGAGCCGAUUUUGAUGCAGUGAAUUCUGUUCAUUUCCAACCGAUGAUUGAUGCCUUUGUUUCCGGAGGAUUUGGGGUUUCUAUCCCCACACAUAAUGAUCUCCGAGGUUGGAUAUUGAAGAACUGCGUAGAGGAAACGAAGAAGGAAAUUGAUGAAAGCAGAUUGUUGUGGAAGAGGACGGGAUGCUCCAUUUUGGUUGAGCAAUUGGACUCUGGCGAAGGUCUAAAAAUCCUUAACUUUUUUGUUUACUGCCCAGAAAAAGUAGUGUUUCUGAAGUCUGUGGAUGCAUCUGAGAUAAUAUCUUCUGUUGAUAAAUUGUAUGAGCUAUUUAAGGAGGUAGUAGAAGAAAUUGGGGAAACCCAUGUCGUUCAAGUGAUUACAAAAUGUGAAGAUCAUUAUAUUGCUGCCGGGAAACUGUUGAUGGAUGCAUACCCUUCUCUUUAUUGGGUUCCUUGUGCUGCUCAUUGCAUGGAUAUGGUGCUCGAGGAUUUUGGAAAGGUUGAGUGGAUAAGUGAAAGAAUCGAACAGGCUCGAGCUGUUACAAGAUUUAUUUACAAUCAUAGUGGUGUUUUGAAUCUGAUGUGGAGGUUUACUUCUGGCAAUGAUAUUGUGCAACCAGCAUUUAGCUGUUCUGCCACAAAUUUUACGACUUUGGGAAGAAUAGCCGAUUUUAAACCGAAUUUGCAGGCUAUGGUUUCUUCACCAGAGUGGAAUGAUUGUUCAUAUUCGAAGGAAGCAGGUGGAUUGGCAAUGACAGAUACUAUCAGUGAUGAGGCAUUCUGGAAGGCACUUACGCUAUUAACACAUCUAACAUAUCCUCUUUUACGAGUUCUGAGAAUAGCUUGUUCUGAAAAGAGGCCUGCAAUGGGUUAUGUCUAUGCAGCACUCUACCGGGCGAAGGAGGCAAUUAAGAAACUGUUUGUUGAGAGAGAGGAUUACAUAGUUUACUGGAAAAUUAUAGAUAGUAGGUGGGAGCAACAAAGGCUUAUUCCUUUGCAUGCCGCCGGUUUCUUUCUUAACCCCAAAUUCUUCUAUAACACCGAUGAAGAAAUGCGCAGUGAGAUCCUUUCAGCAGUCUUUGAUUGCAUAGAGAGGUUGGUCCCUGAUGUCACCAUCCAAGAUAAAAUCAUCAAGGAGAGAAAUUCGUACAAGAAUGCUGUUGGAGUUUUUGGAAGGAACUUGGCAAUUAGAGCUCGGGACACGAUGCUUCCUGCUGAAUGGUGGUCUACAUACGGAGAAAGCUGCUUGAAUCUCUCCCGUUUUGCCAUACGUAUUCUCAGUCAGACUUGCAGUUCAUUGGUUGAGUGCAGGAGAAACCUGAUACCGAUAGAGCAAAUUUACCAAUCAAAGAACUGCCUUGAGCAACAACGGCUCAGGGAUAUCGUGUUUGUCCAAUACAACAUGCGUCUCAGAAGGCGGUAUUACGAAAGCAGAGAUGACUCGGUAAUAGACCCAUUGUCACGGAGCAACAUGGAUGUUCUUGAAGACUGGGUCUCCAAAAACCAAGCUUGUAUACAAAUAAAUGGAAGCUCGGACUGGAAGUCACUCGAGUUGGGUAAGAGAACUCAAGUUCCCAUUGUUGAUGAAGCUGAAGACUUGGGCACAGGUUUUGAUGAUGCUGAGAUUUUCAAGGAGGAAAAGGAAGUGAGAGAGGAAGAAGGUUUUUACACAAACAUCUCAGAGAAGGUUUACACUGACAUCUAAGGGAAGGUAGGCCUUCACGCGAAGUCUCCUCCUAACCUUGCAGAGAGGGAGCUUGUCAUCAUUGGAUGGUGGUUCAAGUCUUAGCUCCAAGAUGUUGGGAUCUCAUUUUAUGAGGACUUAACAUAACCCCCCGAGGUUGUCAGUUAGACCACAAGACUUGUAAAGAAUACACACACACAUAUAUAUGUAUGUAUGUAUGUAUGUAUGUAUGUAUAAAUAUAAGCUUGCACAGACGGUUUUCCCCGCAUGCGGGAGAGGGUACUUCUUUCCAUUUUGAUCAAAGCUAAUGGUGAAAGAUGAUGAUACUACAAAGAAGAAAUGGUGAAUGGUGGUGGAAGUUAACGUGACUUACAAGUAAUGUCUUCCCAUUUGCUU